rnacentral:lncRNA from 1 species
UUUCAUUCUUCUAUCCAAUGGCUAAGUUUUAAACAAUAAAAUCUAAUACUAAAAAUUGAAAAAAAAAUUGAUGGUCCAAUUAGAUCAGCCCAUUGGGCCAUACGGAUCCAAGUGACACCGGCCUGUUAUCCUUCCACUGCUAGGAGCGGGAGGUGGUCGAUGCUCUGUGAAGCCAGCCUGACGCGGUGCCCUCCCCUCUACGAUUCAUGCAGUUCAAGCCUUCGCUAGAGCCACAGGAGCCAACUCUCAGCUUGGAACGGGCAGCCCAGACGAUAGCCAAUCGAACCCAACCCGCUGGUACUGAAUCAAUGUCCCAUCAAUUUCAUGCCCCCACUUGGGUCACAAGCCCAAGUUACUGGACUCGGCCGUGCGGUUCCCCUCAAAUGUUUACUAUAAAGGCUAAUUGUUUUUAGCUUUUGCUCGAUGUGGGAUUGGAUUCAUUAAGUUUUUCAUCUUUCUCGUUAUGUUACUUUUGUUUAAUCGGUGUUAUAAAUGAUAUUUGAAGUUAUAAAGUGAUCUUUGUUUUCUAAUUUUGUUUUUUUUUUUUUAAAUUCAUUUGUGUAUCUUAUAUGACCUAUCAAAUAUAAAUUUAUUAGAGAAUUAUCUAUCACUAUUGUUGUGAUUGGAAACAAUUUUUUAAGUAGUUUUGUUAAGACACUGAACGUAGUUUUGUCAAAUCGUAUAUGCACUUACCAUUGAACUAUGCAUUGGUGUGCACUUUAAAUACAAUUUUGGAUGUAAUUGAAUUUUUAUAUUCUAUUUGUUUGUGAUUACAUAGUAUAUUCAUGUAAUGGGAACAGGUCUUACACUAUUUGUGAAUGAAAAAAAAAUAAAGAAUUAAAUGCGGUUUGAAAGGAAAUAUCGGUAAUUUUAUUAAUUUAAAUUCAGAAUCAACUUUUUUUCGAUACACGAAAAUUAAUAAGAUCAAGUACAGUGACAAAUCAAACUUCAAUACCUGUAAUAAUCCGUAUUAUAAGUGGUAAUGAUGUAGAUAAUUAUGAUUCAAAAAUACUCUCCAAUAGAUAAAAUGAAAAGCGAACAUUUAAAACGUCGAUUGCUUUGUAUAUAUGAUAAUUAAUGAAUAUAAUAGUUAUUCAUACGGAAAAGUUCAAUUUGCACACUGAACUUGGGUCAAAUGUAUGAAAAACCUACAAAUGGACUUUUGAAUAAAAAAAACCUAUGAACUUAACAUUUUAGUAUCACUUUAGCUUAAUUUUUCACUAAAAAUUUAUGUGUGUACAGCACGCGGUCGAACAAUAAGAAAUAAAUGAAUUAAAAAUUAUUUUCCUCUAAUAAACAGUAACAGCAACAUCUCCUUAGCUAAAAUAAUCAAAUUUAAACUUAAAUCUCUAAAUCUAUCAUUUGCAGAAUGAAAUCUACUAAGUUGGAGAAGGAAAGGGAGAGAGUAGAAGGAAGCGAGUCAUACUGUGCUUGUUGAUUAAAGGCUCAUUGUUGGAUUUCUUAGAGCGAGAAGAACACAUGUAGAAAAUUUUAUUCCUGCAGAUUCUUAAAGGUGAAUGCGAAUUUGUUUUUUCUAUUAAUCAACUUCUUUUGUCAUUAAUUUAUCAAUAAGCAAGUGAUAUUUGUCAUACCCUUUUCAAUCUUUGUUAUCAUCCUUUUGUUCUUGAAUCUUUAUUAAAAAAAUUUUUUGGUUUUAUAGCCGAAAGUGAUGUUACUUCUUUGAAUGACACGACGAAAAAAUGGAGCAAAGAGCUGUAGAUGUGAUUAAUAAGCUGAAGUCCCAAUCAAACCUAAAGACUUCCCUCCCUACCAUGCAUCGAAAGUUUAUUAUGAAAUCCUAAUUCAAGAACCAUAGAUGGGAGAUGGGAUCAUUAAUAAUGGAGUUGAGACAACAAAGGAAGGAGUAUGAAAGGGUAAAGAGAAGGGAGUUCUAGUUGGUGUUUGCUUUGUGCUUUACAUUAGCUGUGUUGAUAAUAAUCAUUUUAAAUUGAAGUAGUUAUGGGAUUUGAUUUUAAUUACAAUUUGAGAAGAUUUUGUUGAAGUGAAGCUUUUGUCUUUAGGAAUUUUAACAAAAUGCUGUAGUUUGCCAAAACUACGCUUUGGUUUCAGCAUGAUAAUGUAACUAUUUCGUUUAUGGAAUAAAAAAUUGCUGCAAAUUUUGGAAUUGCCAUAUUUGUUUCUUCAAAACUUUAUUGGUGUUGCAUCCUAAUUAUUUGAUCAAUAAAUAUGAGAUGUGACAGGUUAUGAAUCUAUCAACUAUUUAUUCUGUUUCAGAUAUUAAUUCAUGGAAAAUAGCUUCCAGUUUUGGUUAUUUUGGCUAAGGAGAUGUUGCUGUUAUUAUUUAUUAGAGGAAAAUAAUUUUUAAUUCAUUUAUUUUUUAUUAUUGACACUUGCUGUACGCACAUAAAUCUUUAAUGAAAAAUUGGCUAAAUGAUAAUAAAAUGUUAAAUUCGAGGGUUUUUUUAUCGAAAAGUUCGUUUGUGGGUUUUUUUUACAUUUGACCCAGGGUGCAAAUUGAAACUUUUUCUUUAUUCAUUUUACAGUUUUAUUAUUAAAUAUUUUUAAAGUACAAAUUGCUCUAAUGAGAUUAAAUAAAUUGUUUAAAUUAAACUUUUGUUAUAUACCAUAUGUGCAAGUAUUAAUAUUUACGGGAAAAAGCUAAUUCCCACUAUCUUUACCUAAAACAAAUGUAAAUCUUCUUAAAAAAAUUAUUUUUUAUAUAUUCUAAAUUUUUUAGUUUGUCAUUAAUUUGAAGUAUUAGCCUUUAAGAUUCUGGCUGUAUUGAAGUCCUUGAAAACUUCCCAUUCCACGUGACUUACUUCUUCUGAUUUCUGAUAUUUAACUUAUAUCUUUCAUCCUUAUAAAAAUAAUUAGUACUUUGAAUGUGCUUUGCACAUUAUUUAUAUUCAUUGCAUUUACCAUUUUAAAAAAUAAUUUAAUACACUCUAAAAUAUCACAAACUGCUUUAAAAGAAAGUUGUAUGUAGAGCUUUUUUGCCUAAGUUGUAUAUCUUGGGUCCUCUCUUGGACUCCAAAUCAGUAAAUACGUUUCUAUUUAAAAUUCUAUGCCAAGCACUGACAAAGGGGGACCUAAGGGCCUCACCAAAAUAAUUUAUUAAACAAAUUCAUUUUCAAAAAAAAAAAUAAUUAAACAAAUUAAAGUCCAUAAUAUAAUAUUAGAAAUGAAAAAUUUUAAUUAAGCAAAUGAGUUUAUCCCGUGAUUUGAAAGCUACUAGCUAAUCUAGAUGGUUCAUCAUUACUUCAUUAGUGAUUAGAGACUGACGAUUUCAGCCUCCUCUUAAUAAUUUUCCCUUUGAAACAAAGCUAAAAAGUGAUUUUGAGAUAUGUAUUUUACAACCUUUUUCAUUAAAUAUACAACCUUUAAUAUUUCUUUUAUUCAAUGUUCAUUUGCGGAUGAGAAAAAAAAAAAAAAAAAAAAAAAAAAAGAUAUGAUAAUAAAGAAAGAUAGCCAUUUCAUAAUCAUUUUCCUCUCUUGGUCUAUGAGAAUCUAUGGCCUCCUGGACAUUUUUUAGGAAGAGGGGUUCCACACAAUGAAGGAUUACCAACAAAAACUGAUGGAUCAUUGAACUUUUUGAGCCCUUCAGGAAUUUUUCCUUCCAAAUUGUUGUAGGAUAAAUUUAACCGCACCAAUGAAUUCAAAGUAGCCAAGCUUUGAGGGAUCGGCCCAGAAAGAUGGUUAUAUGACAGAUCAAGUGAUUCCAAGUCUGUAAGUUCUCCAAUUUUCUCAUUAAUCUUUCCACUUAUCUGAUUUCUUGACAGGUUCAAGAAUCGCAACCCAUGAAGGUUUAUUACCUCAUCAGGAAUUUCUCCAGUUAGAUUAUUUCUAGAAAGGUCAAUUCCAUUAACUGCUGCAAAAAUGUUGUUAUAUUCAAGUGUUCUUCCUUUCAAUGCAACCAUUAGUAGUUGUAGAAAAACCUCAUUGUACUUACCACUGACCAUUCCUGUCAGGUUUCCAAUACAUUUUGGAACAGCACCUGAAAAUUUGUUGUCUGAAAGGUCUAAAAUGUGAAGAUUGUUGGGAUUACAUACUUCUUUGGGGAUUUCUCCAGUAAAUGAGUUUGAAUGAAGUUGUAACAUGAAUAAGGAAGCAAACCUUUCUCCUAUCCAAGAAGGUAAAUUUCCUGACAGGUUAUUUCUUCGAAGAUCAACACUCGUUAAUCCCGAGCAAUUUUGCAAUGAUGAAGGAAUCUCUCCAUCAAGAUUAUUGUUACUCAACAAUAAGACACUGAGGGAGGAUAAGGAACCAAAUGAACUUGGGAUUUUGCCUGUUAAAUUAUUGUUUGACACAUCAAUAGCCCAGAACAUUAGCUGAUGAGACCAACAGUUGGGAAUCUGUCCAGAAAGCUUGUUGCUUCUAAGGGAAAGAAUUUGCAAGCCAUUCAUAACACAAAAUGAUGAUGGAAUUGUACCAGAAAGAUGGUUUGAAGAAAGAUAUAACUUUUCGAGCCUUGGCAUUAGGCUACCGAUGUUUUCAGGUAUAGAACCUGAAAACAAGUUGUCCUGAAGGUAAAUAGUUGAUGCAUUUGUAGACCAAAAUGGAAGAGGACCCUCGAAAUGAUUAGAACUCAGAUCAAUAUACUUUAAAUUUGGAGAUUUCAUUUGAUUUGGCAGUUUUCCUUUGAUUUGAUUAUUUGACAGAACCAAGUAAGUGAUUUCAGAAGAUCGUUCCGAAAACCAUUCUGCUGGUAUAGUAUCUGAGAUUCCAACAUUUCUUAGAAUGACAGAGGUGAGUUCAUUUUGAACUUGAAGCCACAUAGGAAAGAAAGGACCUAUUACACAAUUUUCUAUUUGGAUGGAUUUGAGCCUGAAAUGAGGAAUCCACUUAUGAGACACAUUGAAGAUCAAAGACCUAGUAGGGAGGGUCGUGAGACGGAUAUUUUCUAAACUUCUGAGAUUUAUCAAGUGGGUUUCUGUCAAAAUGCCUUCCCAGGAAUUUGAAAUGAGGUCUACAUUCACUAACUUUGAGAGUUGACCAAAACUGUUAGGAAUUGUCCCAUUCAUAUUGUUAUAAGAAAGGUCCAAUUCCUUUAAAGAUGACAAUCUUCCUAUAGAUUCUGGAAUGGAACCCCAAAAAGAGUUUCCUGAAAGGUGAAGAUGCUGCAAAUUUUUAAGCACACCUAAUGAUUCAGGCAUUUCUCCUGUUAAUGAAUUAGAGUUCAAAUUUAAUGACACUAAGCUGUUGUUUUGAUUAUCCGCAAAACCACCUAAAAACUCAUGAACUUCACCAGUUAAACCAUUAGCAGAAAGAUCUAAGACCUUCAACUUACUUAGAUUACCAAGAAAACUAGGGAUAUGACCUCCAAAGUUCAAAUUAUUGGAUAAAUCAAGAACUUCCAAAGAUUUUAGUCUAGCAAAUUCACCAGGAAUUGGACCAGUGAAAAAGUUCCAUACAAGAUAAAGUCUUGUAAGGCUAGUAAGAUUGAAUAACCAUUGAGGAAUUGCAGAAUUGAAAGAGUUGUCUGAUAAAUCAAGAACAGAAAGAGAAGUGAAGUUGAUGGAAGAAAGUGAAAGUGGAAUAUUAUCAAGUUCACAGUAAUGCAAGUUUAACUCUAACAAAGAAGGAAGCAUAUUAAUAGCUUGAAGCCAAUCAGGCCCUACAUCUUUGAGCUUAACAUAGCCCAUAUUAAGGUACUUCAAAGAAGACAGAUCUGAAAGCCAGUGCAGACUGUCAGCGCGUAGCUCCAACGCGCCUGAAAUGCUAUACGAUCUUGCAUUAAGGUCAAGAUAUUGCAAUCGCCACAAAUUUCCAAGUUGAGAUGGAAUGAGUCCAGAAAAUGAUGAGAAAGAGAGGUUAAGGUAUCUCAAAUUUUCUAAUUCUCCCAAGAAUUCAGGAAUUUGAGCACCUUUGAAAUUAUUAAAGCUUAUAUCUAAAUACCUUAAGUAUUGUAACUCGAGUACAGAAGAACUAAUCUUACCACCCAAACAAGACUUCUCAUAAAUUUCUUGGUCACCAACUCCUCCAUUGAUUAACGUAUAAGGAUUUCGAAGGUCGAGAUUGAUGACAUGACCAGUUUGAUUAUUGCAUUUGAUUCCAUUCCCUUUGCAGCAAUCUUUUCCCUCCCAAGAGGAAAGUCUACCAAAAGGAUCAGUAAGGCCUUGUUUGAACACAACAAGAGCUUCUCUCUCUUUGUCGAUGCAUUGAACUUCAUCGCCCAAACAGAUCUUUAUAUGUGAAGAGAACAAAAAACACAAAACCAGAAGAAAGUGAAAAGGGUGACAAAUGGUUUCCAUAAAGGAAGAAUUAUUUUGCAGUGACAACUAAAUCUGCAAAUUGAGUUUAUAUAUAGAUUGGACUAUGAACAGAUAUAGUGUGAAAUGGGAAUUAGUGGAAAUGCCCAUAUGGGAAGUCAUGUGCCCAACAAUUAUAAAAUAUUAAGAAUGGGAAAGGUAGUGUUAGAUGACUAUGCUCUGUCCAUUAGUAUGGUGGUAUACCCACUUGCAUUUCUUAUUAACUGAAUUUGGCUUGUUUAACAUGUGGCUUACCAGAGACAUUUUGAGUUCCAAGUCAGGAAUUGCGUACUUCUUAAUUACAAAAUGUUGUCAUUCAAUAUCGAUAAGAGAAUUUCAAUAAACAAUACUCUCUCCGUACAAAAUAUAAGUUAUUUUUAUAUGAUUAUUUUAUCCUAAAAUAUAAGUCGGUUUGGUGUUGAGAUACAUGAUAAUUUGGUCAAAUCAUUCUUAGUUUUCUUAUAAUUUAGAAGCAUUAAUUGCUUCCUUAAUUUUUGUGUAAAAAUCUUUAGAGGGAUAAUGAUAAAUUUGAUAUCUCAACUUUAUGUUUUUUUUUAUUUUAGUGUCUUGCUGGAGAACAUUUGCAAUUGGUUGUAUUUACUUGUGAAAAUAUUCAAUUAAGUGGCUGUGUCCAUUUUUAAACACCAAAAAACUGACUCAGCAGUCGUGGAGCCUAUUUUUAAUAGGUGGCAGGCCAUGUGUAAUAAAGUGGAAUUUUUUUAAUCCACCUCAGCCCUUGUAUUAUGCGUGUACUUCGCCUUUACCCCUAAUUUAAUGCUCCCAAAGACCCAUCUAAAGAAAAAAGUUAUUUCAUCUUUUCAAAGGACCAUUAACCCCAUCUCUUAUAUUCCCAAACCAAAACUGUUUAGCGACUAAUCGUUAAAAAUACUCUAAAUUUUGCGGGUAAUUUUAAUUAUAUCCUAAAACUCCAUUGGUUUAUGUAAAAUGAAUUGUAAGAAAAUAUUUUUUAUAAUUUUCUGUUGUUUGUGGCAUUUAGAAAAAUAAGUCAAUGAAAAAUAUAUUUUUCUGGUCAAAGAAACAUUAAGUCAUUUUUAAAGAAAAUGACUUCUCAUUUUCAAGAGCGUAAAACAUUUUCCGGACUUUGACAAACUUAUUAUAACCUUAUAAAUAUUUUUUUUAAUUUAUUAAUCAUCGAUAACCACUAACACUACUCACCAUUCACCACUAACUACCACCACCGGCCACCGGCGACUUUCAUAAUUUACCCUUUUUUUGCUUUAUUCUCAUAUUUAAAAAUAAAAUUAUUAAAAUAUGCAAUUUAUAUUAUUAUUAUUGUUGUUGUUGUUGUUAUUGUUAUUGUUAUUUAAAAAAUUUAAUAUUUUUAAAUAAUUUUUAACAGUGCAACCAAAUAAGGGAAAAUAAGUCAUUUAGAAAAUAUUUUCCAAAGGUAAGUUAUUUUUCGGAAACAAACGGAGCCUAAAUCCAACUUUCUUCUCCUAGAAUCUUGAAUUUUAAUUUUAGUUACAAUAGCACCCUAAUUUCAAAUUAUACCCAAUUUAAUGAAUAGAAUAUUAUUUAUGAGACCUAGUUUAACCUUUUUUUCAAAUUAGAUUUCUUCCCACCACCGCUUAUAAAUAAAUAUAUAUAUUUAUAGAAAUAUUAAAAUAAAAAAUAAUCUAUUCAUCUUAAAAAUGAAAUACUUUUUUUUAUAAUAUUGACAACAAGUAAUAAUUCUUGAAAAAUAAAAUGAUGUCGUAAUAAAUAAAACUUAUUUUUAUAAGAGAUUUAACCUGAGUAUAAAUAAAAUUUUAUGCUUAAAAAAUUGCAAAACAAAAACCUAAACUAAUAUUUUAUGUUUAUAACUAACUAAAAUUUAUUAUUUUACUUGACUUUUUAUGAAUUUAAAUUCUUAACCAAUAUUAGCCAGAGCAUUGUUAAACAGUAAAUUUUUAGUUAACCUACCAUACAAGAGAGUAUAAUAUUUUAUUCAUUAAAUUGGAUACAAUUUGAAAUUAUGAUGCUAUUAUAACUAAAAUUGAAAUUCAGGGUACUAUGAAAAGAAAGUUGAAUUUACCUGUAAAGUUUGAGAUAUUUUUAAUGGUUUAGCUCCUCAGCUUGAUAGAACAUGAUCUCAUUACAAAAUUAGGGCAAGAUUCCAGUGAAGGAAAUUGAAUCAAGAAAAAUGCAGAUGAUGAUCAGAAGAAAAUUGAAUUAAGGAAAAUGCAGAGAUGAAUCAGUAUGAUGGUAGAUGAUUAAAUCGGUUCCAUCUGUAAGUGGUAAAAAUGAUAAAUGAUGAUAUUGAACGCAGAGAUGAAUAAAUAUGUUUCUGUGUUGCUAAAUGAAUAUUAGUUUGUUGGGUUUUGAAUCUGCAAAUUUCUUAUAUUAUCCUAAUGAUUUUGUAUAUGACAUUGUAAAUUGCCCCUUAUGUAAAGGAAUUUCAAUCUAUAAUUUUUUUUUCUCUUCCAUUCUUCCAUUUCUGAUAACGAGUAUUAAUGAUGUAAUUAAAUACAAAUCAAACAAUUCGAAGGAAAAGAACUCAUUUGAGUUUUUGUAAAAACGAAAUUCAAAUUUUAGGAAGAAAGUUUUUUUUUUUUUUCAAGAUAUGUAUUCAUCUUUGUUGUGUUGAUUCCAUUCUUCCAUUCUCUUCUUUCAUUUUCUUCUUUAAUCUUUUGAAAAUCAUUACAAAGUACGCAUAAUACAAGGGCUGAGGUGGAUUUAAAGUGAUUCCACUUCAUUACACAUGACCUGCCACCUAUUAAAAAUAGAUCCCGCAACUGCUGAGUCAGCUUUUCGAUGUUUAAAAAUGGCCACAACCUAAUUGAACAUUUUCACCGGUAAACACACCCAAUUGUAAAUGUUUCCGUCAAGACACUAAAAUAGAAAAAAAAAACGUAAAGUUGAGACACUAAAUUUAUCACUAUUUUAACCUUAAACAACUUGUAUUUUGAGACAAAAUGAGUAUAUAUGUAUCACGGGACUUGAGAUGUAGAAAAAAAACACAUAGAAAGAGGCAAUUACAACCCUCAAAACCAAAUUAAUCUUAUACUAUCUCCAUCUCAUAUGUAUAUAGACUGACUUUUUUUUAUUUGUCUCAAAAUAUAGUUAUAUUUUUUAAAAAAAUUAUUUAUUGUUUAAUUUUUUAAUAUACUCUUGUUUAAUGUACAUUUAUAUUUUUAAAUAAUUGUAUUACAUCAUUUAAUAUUAAUAGGUAAGUAUGUUAGAAAAUUACUAACCAAAAAAUAUAGUAUAACUAUAUUAAGUAGUUUUCUUUAAUCUAUGUGAAAGUCAAACUAAACCUUUAAAUAUAGGAUAAGGGAGGGAGUAUAGAAAAAAAAUAUAAUGAUAUUCAUAGAAAAAUAAAAGAAAGAUGCAUCCUAAUAAAAAAAAUGUUGACCUUCCUAAAAGUAUUGGAGAGAACCCUAGAGGCAUCAAUAGUGGGGGUAAUCAUUAUUCAAUGUAAAACUGCCAAAUUAAAUCGGACCAAAUCAAAUUAGCCAAUUUAAUUUAGUUUGGUUGCUAAAAAAAAAAUAGGUAGGUUUAUAAAUUUUGAAAAAAAUGAUUGACAGCUGAGUUUCAAUUUUUGAUUUCAAUAAUACAAACCAAACCAUAAUCAUAUAAUUAUAUACUCCCUCUGAUCUUUUACUUUAGAGAAAAUUUUCAUUUAGGGUGUUUGUGGUAUGUACAGAAUUUUACCCUAAAUGGAAAUUUUGGGAAGGAUGCAAAAGGAAAAGUCUAAAAUUCCCUUGAAUAAACUAUGUUGCUGCUUUUAUUCCCAGCUCAAUUAAUUGAGCAUAGUGGCAAACAAAAAAUAGAUUGGACAAUUACUGAUAUUAUGUUUUGAAAGCAUGCAUGAGUAACUGCUACGUUUAUGAGCAGUUUGGUAGAAAUAUGCUCGAUUUUACAGAUUUGAGCAUGAAUAAAUGUAAUACAUUAGUCAGGUAUCCUAAUAUGGUUACACAUUUUAAUUGUUGCGCGCUAUUCAUAAAAAAGUCUUUACAUCCAUAUUAUAUUUUUAAUUUGAGCACAAAUUUAAAAUUUUUCCAACAAACUUAAUUGUAACACUUGUUGACUAAAUUUGUAUUCAAUUUCCAAGAAGUGUGCAUAAUUUACGCACCAAGCACGAGUAUUUUUCUUAGGAGAUUAACAUAAAAUAGUCACAGAUUUAUAUUGUUACACUCUACUUUAAAAAAAAAAAAAUUCUUUUAUGUGAAUUAACUCUUACUAACAUGAACGCAAAAGUUUGCUUUUAAGUUCUCAUAUCUAUUGAUUCAUUCAAUGGCAAAACAAAUUUUAGCAAAAUGAUAACAUGUGUCUGACAAUUGUGGUCUAUAUCAUGAUGUCUACGAAUAAUUUUCUUUUUACUAGUGUCCUAUUUUUAAAAACAAUGUAAAUCUACUACUUUUGAAGUUGAAGAGACUCCUACAAUCUUCAAAGAUUUUGGCUAAUAAAAAAAAAACAGUUUAAUAUCAGCUUGAAAAAUUUAUAAACCCUAAUUAUCAUUUUGGUUUGAAAGUUCCUUCAAACCGUCCUAAACCAGACCAUGUAUACCUGCACUUCUGAGAUAUGUGUAGCAAAUGUUUGAAAAAUUUGUACAGUUUUCCAAUUCCUUAACUGUUGGUCAGUUAUCAUUUAUACCACAACUCAAUGAUCAAUUUUGUGUUAUCCAUUAUCGACGACUCAGAUUUUAAAGACGAUAUUUUCCUUGCCAAUUCAAAACGGCAGUUCCACUUUCUCAAUCUGAAAAAUGCAACUUCAAUUUUCUUAUAUUGCGGCACGUUGGGAUUUGAUUUAGCUAUUAUAUAUUUUAUAUUUAUACUAUAUAUAAAUGUGAGUAAAUGGAAAAAUAAUGAAAUUUCUUAUAUCGUACUUAACGAAAUUUAAAUGUUCUAAACUAACAUUAGUCAUAAGCCAAUUGAAUUAUUAUAUUUUAUUAGUUGAUUGGAUAUAUUUAUAAAAAUUAUUUUUUAAAUAAAUACAUAUAGACAUUUAGGCAUUUCAAGAUUUUAAGAUUUUCUUUCCUAAAUUUAUUUUUUAAUAAAUAUAUAUCAUAAUUUUUUAAAUAUUUGAUUCUAUUUUGAUUAUAAUUUAAAAUAAUUUUAUUUAGGAAGGAGGUAAAAAAAGAAAAAAGUAUACUUUUUUGUGUUUAUAUGAUUUGAUUGGAUAUACUUUUUAAAAAAUAAAUAUACGUAAUAUUUUAUUUAGGAGAGAGAUAUAAAAAAUAAAAAUAUAUAUUCUUUUUCUUUCUGUAUGAUUAUAGAGAAAAUUCAGGGUUUAUUUGGAGAGAAUAUAACGUUUCUUUUAUGUAAUCUUUUCUUUACUACUUAAUUAACUUAUUUAUUUAUUUAUUUUAAAUUUACAACUUAAAAUAAUAUAGAAAUAAAAUACUCUAAUAAACUCAUUAACCGACCAUCUAUUGAAUCCUAGCAUGAUUUUGUUUUGUCAUUUUCAUUUAUUGACUUGGCUUUAUUUUAUUUUAUUUUUGUCCAUCAACAUUAAAUUUCAUUAAAUUAUAGUCUUUCUAGAGUUAUUUUUGAAAUCCAAAUUGAUUAUUUUUUUAAUAUAAUUUAUUUCUUGUUAUACGUUGAGUUCUUAAAUGAGUUUUAUUCAUAAUAAUAAUUUUUAUUUUAUUUUUCAUUAUUGAAUUAAUUUGUAAUCACUAUCACUUUAAUUUAGUAAGAGAUUCGUAUCUCUCUUACAAUAACUAGAUAGCAUCUUGAUUAACUAUUUUUAAUUUUCUUGAUAUUUUUUCAUUUAUAUCCUAAAUCUGUUUGACUUGAACGAAAAUAGUAUUUAUGAAAUUAAAACAAAAUUAAAACUAUAUAUUUUUUAGACCACUUUAUUUUUUAAAAGUAGAAUUAAGUACAUAAAAAAUAACAUUACAAGUAGCUCAUACGGCAAAGUUUAAUACAAAUUAACUAAUUAUUUUUAUUUUUAUUUAAAUAAAAACUUAUGCUUUAAUAUUAUGUAGAUAAAAAAUUAAAAGACAAUGAGUAUUGUUACUGUGUGGUCAUUAAAAAAAGACUGAUAAAUAUAAAUAGAUAGAUACAUAUGCAAAGAAAACAAAUUUUAAUUUUCAUUAUAUGAACAUGUGCAACUGAAUUUUACCUCUUUUAUUCUACUAUCUAAUGGCUAAGUUUUAAACAAUAAAAUCUAAUACUAAAAAUUAAAAAAAAAAUGGUGGUCCAAUUAGAUCAGCCCAUGGGGCCAUACGGAUCCAAGUGGCACCGGCCUGUUAUCCUUCCACUGCCAGGAGCGGGAGGUGGUCGCUGCUCUGUGAAACCAGCCUGACGCGGUGUCCUCCACUCCACGAUUCCUGUAGUUCAAGCCUUCGCUUGAGCCACAGGAGUCAACUCUCAGCUUGGAACGGGCAGGCCAGAGGUUAGCCAAAUGAAUCCAACCCGCUGGUGCUAAAUUAAUGUCCCAUCAAUUUCAUGCCCCACUAAGGUCACAAGCCCACGUUACUGGACUCGGCGGUGCAGCUCGCCUCAAAUGUAUAAUAUAAAGGACAAUUGUUUUUAGCUUCUGCUCGAUGUGGGAUUGGAUUCAUUAAGUUUUUCAUCUUUCUCGUUGUGUUACUUUUGUUUAAUCGGUGUUAUAAAUGGAUUUUUGAAGUUAUAAAGUAAUCUUGUGUUUUUUAAUUUUGUUUUUUUUUAAAUUAAUUUGUGUAUCUUAUAUGACCUAUUAAAUAUAAAUUUAUUAGAAAAUUAUCUAUCGCUGUUGCUGUGUUGGGAAACAGUUUUUUAAGUAGUUUUGUCAAAACACUGAACAUUAUUUUUUAAAUAUUAGAACUAAUUUUUAAAGAAUAAGAUAGCGUUUUAUAAAAUGUUAAAUACUAUAACAUGUAAUUUUUAGUGUUUUUCUACUUUAAAAUAACUAACUGCUAUUAAAACAACUAAUAGCUAAUAACUACCAAAACAGUUAGAUGGCCUCUUGACUAAGCAUUUUUAAUUUUCUUGAUAUUUUUUCGUUCAUAUCCUAAAUCUGUUUGACUUGAACAAAAAUAGUAUUUAUGAAAUUGAAAAGAAAACUAAAACUAUGUAUUUUUAUUUUGGGUCAUUUUUUGGGUUUCAAGAAUUUGUGUGUGUUCAUAUAUUCCUUUCUCUAAUGCACUGGGUAAGUAAUACUAUUAUUAUUGCCAAAAUGAUUAUCAUUAUUGAUUCAUAUCAUCUUCUCAUUUAUUUUUUUUACCUAGCAGUAAAACAUAAUUUAUUAUUAUUUUUCAUUAUGGUCGUAUAUAGAUAUUGAUUUAAGAUUGAUGGCAAAUGGUUGGGGAUUGAGUGAUAACUUGAUUUUCUUUUUUGGAACCUAUCAAGGUUUAAGAAUCUGCAUUUAUAAAUUAAGGAUUGAAGGAUUAGGCAUAGGAUUAAAUUAAAUUUUAUUUUGAGACCACUUUAUUUUUUAAGUACAUAAGAAAUAACAUUGCAAGUAGCUCCUACGGCAAAGUCUAAUACAAAUUAACCAAUUGUAUUUAUUUUUAUCUAAAUAAAAAUUAUGCUUUAAUAUUAUGUAGAUAAAAAAUUAAAAGAUAAUGAGUAUUGUUAGCGUGUGGUCAUAAAAAAAAUACUAAUAAAUAUAAAUAGAUAGAUACAUAUGCAAAGAAAACAAAAUUUAACUUUCAUUAUAUGAAUAUGUGCAACUGAAUUUUACCAAUAACUUCAAUUAAUGUCGGAACAAUAUAUUAUUUUUAAGUAUAGUUCUUAAUUGAUAUAAUAAAUAAAUAACAAUUAUUUAAUUGUUUAAAAAUUAAAUUUAAAAUAUAAUAAUAAUAAUAAUAAUAAUAAUAAUAAUAAUAAUAAUAGUUUGAAAAAUAGUCUUCUUCUGCCACGAACUCAUAAUUGCUUGACUUACAUUUCAUCUUUUGCCCUGACCCACCAUUGGCAAGGAAACUACAAAAUGCAGAGCAGUUAAAUUGAAAGUAUAAACUGCAAAAUAGAAUUGGUUGAUUUCACUUUAUUUAUUUUCAGCCUUUAAACAUAAAUAUAUAUUAAAUUUUAGUUUCAAAUUAUAAUUAAGAAAAAGCUUUUACCAAAUCAAACAUAUUAAAUUAAUAUUCUCUUUUAUUAAUUUAGUUGUGGGCGGUUACUACAAUACAUAUUUAAAAAGUUCUUAAUGGAUAGAGAAACUAUAAUUUUAUGCCAUUUGACAUCCUACCUUUAGUAUAGCAAGUACAUAUCACUAAUUAUAUAAGGUUUUUUUUUUUAUUCUUUACAAAUUUCAUUUUUUCUUCUUUUGGUAGAAAAAAACGUCUUUUUAAAUUACUGUUAAAGAAAUACAUAUCAUUUUUUUUAAUUAUAUAUUUUUUUCAAUUUCAUUUUCGAUAAAUAUUUUCUUAAACUGUUAAAAAUAUUUUUUAUAAAUUAAAUUUUAUUUAUUUUAAUAAUUUUAAUCACAUUCUCGUAAGUAAAAAAAAUUUAAUUACGUCCGCUACUUCUUAAAUAUAUAUUAUAAUAUUAUAAAUCAAGUAAAGGAGAAUUUUAAAAAAUAAUUGAAAUGAUGUGUAAAUUAAAAUAUUAAAUUUAAUAAAGUGACACAAUUGCUUUUACAAAGGCUAAUAGCUAAUAAUGAAAUAUUAAUAUAAAUAUUUAAAAUAAUGAAAAUUAACCCAUUAAUAUUAAUAUAUUCAUUAGGAGAAUAAACAAGAAUGUUUAAUGAUAUACAUUUAUAAAAAUUUAUAUUGCAUAAUACAUGUGUUUUGAAUUUUCCUAUACAAAUAAAAGUAGGCUUUCAGAAAAUAAAAUUGAUGAAAUUGAUUUUGGGUUAAUAAAUAAAUAUUUAAUAGCAAUUAAGCAAUAUUUUUAUUUUUAAACUAAGUAAGAGUUUUUUUUACCUAUAUAGUUAGGUGGCUUCUCUUUCACUCUACUAUCCAAUGGCUACGUUUUAUAACAACAAAAUCUAAUACUAAAAAUUGAUGGUCCAAUUAGAUCAGCCCAUUGGGCCAUACGGAUCCAAGUGACACCGGCCUGUUAUCCUUCCACUGCCAGGAGCGGGAGGUGGUCGCUGCUCUGUGAAACCAGCCUGACGCGGUGCCCUCAACUCUACGAUUCAUGUGGUUCAUCAAGCCUUUGAAAUCGGUGUUACUUUCUUACAUAACAUACAGAAAUACAAAUAGGACACAUGAGACCUACUUUAUAUAUUAAAAUGUGAUGAUUCAGCUUUGACUAAUGAAGCCAUAAACGAAUGAAAAAAGAAAAGCAAAAUGCAAAACUCUAUGAUCCAAACAAUAUAAAUGAAUCUAACUCAUGACCUGCAAUAUAGGAAAAGAAGAUAAGAAAACUGUAAGUUCCAUCACAUCUAGUAAACAUGGCAUCCAGUAAAACAAUAAGGCCCCACCUUAAUGUAAUGGCAUACUAUAAACUAGUGAGAAAAUUUUGGAUAAAUAAUAAAUUUAGUGUCUCAACUUUCAAUUUUUAAUUAUUUUAGUUUUUGAACAAAAAAUAUGUGCAAUUGAGUGCAAAUUUUUAAAAAAAUACAAUCAAGUGUCAUUUGUUGAUGUAGGUGUCAAAAAACUGACCCAUCACAAGUAGGACCCACAUUUGUCCAGUCACUAGCCUAAGUGGAAUGACACCAAAUUGCUGACUAUGAAAAAACUAAAUCUGACUUGGCAAACUCUACGGAUUCACAUUAUUGUCCUAAUUUCUCUCCACCAAAUCUUUCUGCUUCUCUUCUUCACCAGCAAAAUUUUCCUCUCCUUCACCAACAACUGCUGAAUCUCUACACUCCACAUAUAAAAUCAUCGCCAAAACUUGCAUUUUCAGCCACAAAAUCUAUAUUUUAAAUAGCUAGGUGAUGAAUGGGAAAUCCAAUUUGUUCUUUCUUCUCUUCUUCAAUGAAUUAAUGUUUUUGUAUCGCUUCUUUACCAUUUUUCUAGUUCUUUUCGCUUUGAAUAAUCAUUGUUGUCCUUUCUAUUCUCUUAGAGGUGUGAUUGCCCGUAUUAUUCAAACCCCUUUUGGGGCCUUUUUCGUUUGUAAAUCAAGAAGCCUAAAUCAGCUCGAGGACCUUGCGUUUAUCAAAUACAGCUUCAAUUCUCUUAAAUCCUCUAUCUUGAAUAAAAUCCUCUUAAAUUGUGAGAUUCUUUCUCCUAAAGUCGUGGACUUAUUGCUCAAACUUGACUAUUUUAAGGUAUAUCAUCUUCCUUUUUAUCUUUUGGAAAACGUAUUUUUUCUUUUGGUUUAAUAUAUGGCCGUUACUGAUUAGGUAGUGACCCCAUGAUUCAUUUGAGUCGAUAAUUUUCUGUGGCUUUUAUUUCGGUCAAUAAUUUCCUUUCAUUGUUGCCCUGGCAUACAGUAUGUUGCCUCACACAAGUCAGCAGCAACGGUGGCCAUUGCCUGGAGGAGGAAGAUAAUGGUUACUAUCACAAGCAAGACCAAGAGGACGGAGCUAUAAUAAUUUAUAUACAAAUGGUUAAUUUAUUUUAAUUCUUUUUUUGGUUUUCUAUAAAUUUUUUUAGGAGAAUUGGAUUGUGGUAUUUAAGAGAAAUUUAUGGAUUGUUAUUUUUUAGAAUUUGAUUUUCGAUGUUUAAGGCUUUUGAGACUAGAAAAAAAAGCAGAGAGAAAUAUAUUAGGAAAGCGAAAGGGAAGAGAGAGAAAGAAAGGAGGAUUGAAGGAGAGGGAGAGGGAGAAGAGAGUAAAGAGAAAAGAGAAGGAUAAAUGAUAAAGAAAGAGCGGAUUUAAAAGAUGAGGCGGUGGUGGCGGGCAAAAGUAGCGGUUCAUGUAGGCACUGGGAUCCAGUGAUGCUGAUGUUGGUGGUAAUGAUGGUUUGCGACGGAGGUUAAGCCAUCUGCGUAAGAGAGGCUUCUUCUCUAAACGCAUUAGAUUAAGGGUGACAAAGUCAUUUCAUUGUUUUUGCCAUGUUGCUCAAUUAUUUGUCCAUACAAUUGAUUUGCUGCCUGUCAACGUGACCGGUUCAAGAUAUUUAAAAUUUUAAAACGAAAUUGACCCUUAAACUUUUGAUUUUAGUCCGGUUUUAAUUUCGACAUGAUUUUGGCAUGGUUCCGAUGAACUAACGGUUCAAAUUACAGUUUCGAUUCAGUUUUAGUAUUACACAAAUUUUAAAAAAAAUAAUAAAUUUUUGAUUUCAAAUUCAUAAAUAAAUAAUAAUUUUAAAAUGCUUAGAUUUUAUUAACUAAAUAAAUUAUUAUAAAAUUUUAAAAGAAAAACUUCUAUUAACUUAGAACUAUCGUAACAUUAAAUUUACAAAUUUUGCUAACUCACUAAUAUAGAAAAUUAUAGUUUUUUUUUUUAUUUUGGGCUUGAAUUAAGUUAAAAUUGAAAAAUUGUCUACGUAUCAUCUUGGGAAUUAGAGAAAAUCAAAGCCCACGUAGUUCUUUUUUUUAUUACAAUGGAAAAUAACCUCACAAUUAUUACAAUUAAUUUUAGUCAUCAGUGCCACUAGUCCCUGUUAAUGAGCCAGAAUAAUCAUCAUCGCUUGAAUUUUGUUGGUUUUGAGUUCUCAAUGCCACUUUAGUCCAAUCGUGAACACAUUCUUGCAUUUCCACAUUAUUUGGCGAUAAUCUUGAUUGUGUUGGAUCUAAAAUUUGUCCACCCACACUAAAAACUUGUUCCACUGCAACAGUAGAAAUUAGAUAAGCAAGAAUAUCUUUUUCAAUUGAAGCUAAGACUAGAAAGCGAUUUGCAUGCUUUUUCCACCAAUCCAAAAUAUUAAAUUUUGUUGGGUUUUCAUCCGCAUCAUCACCUAAAAACUCAAAAUCUAUGCUAAUACAUGUCUCAAUUUCUGUGUAUGAAUGUGGACCUUCCCUUAAUUUUUUUGAAACAUUUUGCAUGAAAGUAAAUUGUGUAGAAUAAAAUUUAGUGGAUUGUGUANNNNNNNNNNUAGUUUGUGGAUCUGAUACUUGAGGAAGGGGAGAUACUAAUUUAGAAUACUCAUCAUACAAUUGACGGACAUAUCUUAAAACAUUAUUAAUAAGAGAAAAAUAAUCUACUUCGAUAUUAAAAGAUCCAUAAUAAAAACGAAAAAAAUUUUUGUAAUGCAACUAACUUAAAUCUAGGACAAAGAAAAAAUACAACUAAAUUUAAAUUCAGAAUUGCAGUAUAAUAUUUUAACCAUUUAGUUUUCAUCAUGAAUAUACAUUCUUGUAAAUCAUCAUCAUUUUCAUUUUCAAUUAUGACACCACUUAUGGCUAAACAAUGAAAUGGAAAUAAAUGGGAAGUAGGAUAAUAAACACCAUUAAAAAUUUUUGUACAAUUUUUAAAAACUUGCAAAAUAUCUAAUAUUUUUUUACAAAUAGUCCAAUUGGUUGGAUAAAGUUGAAAAUGUGAUGCAUGCAAUUGCAUAAAUGAAGAAAGAAUAUCUUUAUAUACAUAAGACUUAUUUAACAUUUUAUGAAUGGAAAAAUUGAGAUUAGAAGGAAUUGAGAAUCGGAUGUAUGAAAAUAAAAAAUAAAAAAUAAAAAAUAAACACAAGAUAAUUCAAUAUUAAGAAAAAUAAAGCGAUAGAAAAAAUAAUGAACUAUGUACAUUUGAGAGAAUUUUGAUUGAGAAUAAAAGGAGAGUUAAAAUAUAAUUGGUUGUGAAAAAAAAUCAUCAACUCAUCAUAUUUAUACAUAUUUUUCAUUUUUUUAGUUUUCCAAAUUGUCUCUUAUUAUAGAAAAGUAACAACUAUAUUUUUGGAUAAUUUAGUAAAUUAUAAUAAAUAAAUAAUUGAUUAAAAAUGAAUAAAAUUUAUUUACCAAAAAUAAAAAAAUUAAAAGUCAUCUCAAGAUCUCAGCUAGCCGUUUGUACCUUUUUUUUGUACACAUAAAAUUAUUUUUUUUUACAACUCAACUAUUCAUGUACCAUUUUUUGCACAAAUUAAAUCAAAUCAUGUGUACUUUUUUCAUCACUUUUUAUAAAUUAUAUAUCAUUGUGUACUUCUCUUCACCAUAAAUCGGAUCAACUACAAUCAAAUCAAGUGAUAUAAAUUUUUUUAUAAAAAAUUUUAAGCUACAAAUAAUUUUAUUUGUGCAUUCGGUUCAAACCUUUAAAUCGUCGAUUUGAAUCCGGUUCUAGUUAAUUUACAGUACGAUUCGAUUUCGGUUAAAACCGAACCGAUGGCCAUGCCUAUGUCUAUGUAUGCAACUAACUCAGCAAACGUGGGACCAAAUUGGUAUUUGUUAGCUUUCUGGCAUCCAUGUCAACAAAUGACACUCAAUUGUAAAUUUUAAAAAGUUUAAUCACUCAGAUUGCAAGUAUUUUCCAUUCAGACACCAAAAUAGUAAAAAUUCAAAAGUUCAGAACUAAAUUUAUAAUUUACCCGAAAUUUGCUAAAAUCGUGAUUGGACUAUAACAUCAAACAACCCACAUAUUCUUAGAAGUUCUCUACUGUAAACUAGCAAAGGUUUUGGAAGCGUGUACUGCACCAUUGUAUACUAAGGAUAAAGCUCAGUAGGGAUAUUAGUCUCAGAGAUCAUAGCACAGCGAGGAGGGAAAUGAUUGCGCUGGAAACAAAAGGGGCAGAUCCAGAUCUUACCGGUGACAUAGACAUGGCCGAAAGAAGUGUGCAAUACUUGUUGAAGUGUGCAAUAAUUAACUAAAUUUGUAUUCAAUUUCCAAGAAGUGUGCAAUAAUUUAUGCAUGAAGCACCGAGUAUUUUUCUUGGGAGAUUAACAUAAAAUAGUCACAGAUUUUUAUUAUUACACUCUACUUUUAAAAAAAUUUCCUUUAUAUGAAUUAACUCUUACUAAUAUGUACACAAAAUUUUACUUUUAAGUUCUCAUAUCUAUUGAUUCAUUCAAUGGCAGAACAAACUUUAGCAAAAUGAUAGCAUAUGUCUGACAAUUGUGGUCUAUUUCGUGAUGUCUAAGAAUAAUUUUCUUCUUACUAGUGUCCUAUUUUCAAAAACGAUGUAAAUCUAUUAAUUUUGAAGUUGAAGAGACUCUCACAAUUCUCAAAGAUUUUGGCUAAUAAAUUCACAUUUAAAAUACUCUAUUAAUGAGUUGAUUUCUUCACCAUUAAUUAUGUAUUUAAGAUUGAUUAGGAGUAUUAUAGCCAAAAAAUGGGUAAAUAUUUCUGUUUAACUACUUUCUUAAUCCUAGAAUAUUUUAUGUUUUCUCUAAAAUGUGAGAGUAGUAUAAUAUAGUAAACAAAAGUUAUAUGAAUUGUGAUAUAUAAAAAUAUUUUAUUUACAUUAGUAACCAAUGCAAUAUAUACAAGUGGAGGAAAGAGAAUUUUGAAGUGCAUUAAAGUUCAAGAGUUUAUAUCAUUUUGUUUGUAUGUUUAAUAAUUUUUAUAUCAACUUUAACAGUAUUAAUAUGUUAUGUUAUUUAAACUUGAUCAAACCGUUUUACAAAACUGUAUCAUUUUAGUUCGAUUUGAGAUAAAAAAAAAAAAAAAGAUUUAUAUCUCCCUUGCAAUAAAUAGAUGGCCUCUUGACUAACCAUUUUUAAUAUUCUUGAUAUUUUUUCGUUUAUCCUAAAUCUGUUUGACUUGAAUGAAAAUAUUAUUUAUGAAAUUAAAAAAAAAUUAAAACUAUAUAUUUUUGAGACCACUUUAUUUUUUAAAAAUAGAAUUAAAUACAUAAGAAAUAACAAUGCAAAUAGCUCAUACGGCAAAAUCUAAUAUAAAUUAAUCAAUUGUAUUUAUUUUUAUCUAAAUAAAAACUUAUACUUUAAUAUAUAAAAAAUUAAAAGAUAAUGAGUAUUGUUACCGUGUGGUCAUUAAAAAAAGACUAAUAAAUAUAAAUAGAUAGAUACAUAUACAAAGAAAACAAAAUUCAAUUUUCAUUAUAUGAACAUGUGCAACUGAAUUUUACCUCUUUUAUUCUCCUAUCCAAUGGCUAAGUUUUAAACAAUAAAAUCUAAUACUAAAAAUUAAAAAAAAAAUGAUGGUCCAAUUUCAUCAGCCCAUUGGGCCAUACGGAUCCGAGUGGCACCGGCCUGUUAUCCUUCCACUGCCAGGAGCGGGAGGUGGUCGCUGCUCUGUGAAACCAGCCUGACGCGGUGCCCUCCACUCUACGGUUCAUGUAGUUCAAAGCCUUCGCUUGAGCCACAGGAGCCAACUCUCAGCUUGGAACGGGCAGGCCAGAACUUAGCCUAACGAACCCAACCCGCUGGCGCUGAAUCAUUGUCCCAUCAAUUUCAUGCCCCCACUUGGGUCACAAGCCCACGCUACUGGACUCGGCGGU